UUUUGCUUUAAUCACUCUAAUAAAUCAUUUUAAAUGCUAUUUCUAUCCAUGUCUUGGCACUCCAACAAAUGAAACUGUCAGCGAUUUGGCUAGUUUUAGUUUUUAGCUAGCAGGAUGUUAUUGGAAAUAAUGAUGUUGGUAUAGCCUUAUUCCUUGCCUUUAUUGUGGGAGGAAACUAAUGCCUUAUACGUAUUACUAAAGUCUAGAUUUCUCCAAUGAAACUUAAAGGGAUUUGAGAGUCACCUGGAAAGACUGGCUUCUGAACCAAUUUCAAGGUGGAUUUUUAAGACUACAAAUGGGAAUUUCUGGUUUGCUUUCAAAUGGUUCUGAUAUUCUUCAUUUUGUUAUGUUUUACAGCUGGUACUGGUUAUCACUGCACUUUAUUAAAUGGCAUCCCCAUUUCAAUUGAGAGUGAAGAGGUUCUUGGAUAAAGAACUUUAAAAAUCAGCCUAGAAGAUGGACUUUUGGCAAGCCAUAAUAGACUGCUCCUUUCCCAGUUGGCUUUCUGGAUGCCGCUGGGCAAACACCAUUCUUGGACCUGGAAUGAAGCAGAUGUUUACUUCUAGAAGCCUGGUGUAUGGAAAAAGUCAGCAGCAUGAACAAAGAUUUGUUGAGAAUCACUUUUCACUAUUAAAGAUAAACAUUGAAACAAGGCCACUGGGAGAAGAGAGCCUCUUCACAAUGAGCAGAAGUGAAUCUUUGAGGAGUGAAAGAAACAGGAAGGCUGGGAUAGUUGGAGUGAAGUCUCAGUGA
rnacentral:lncRNA from 1 species